GAUGAACGCUGGCGGCGUGCCUAAUACAUGCCAGUCGAGCGAACAGACGAGGAGCUUGCUCCUCUGACGUUAGCGGCGGACGGGUGAGUAACACGUGGAUAACCUACCUAUAAGACUGGGAUAACUUCGGGAAACCGGAGCUAAUACCGGAUAAUAUAUUGAACCGCAUGGUUCAAUAGUGAAAGACGGUUUUGCUGUCACUUAUAGAUGGAUCCGCGCCGCAUUAGCCAGUUGGUAAGGUAACGGCUUACCACGGCAACGAUGCGUAGCCGACCUGAGAGGGGGAUCGGCCACACUGGAACUGAGACACGGUCCAGACUCCUACGGGAGGCAGCAGUAGGGAAUCUUCCGCAAUGGGCGAAAGCCUGACGGAGCAACGCCGCGUGAGUGAUGAAGGUCUUCGGAUCGUAAAACUCUGUUAUUAGGGAAGAACAAAUGUGUAAGUAACUAUGCACGUCUUGACGGUACCUAAUCAGAAAGCCACGGCUAACUACGUG
rnacentral:rRNA from 1 species